CCAUGCUUUCAGCACUACUGGCAAGCAAAGUGUUCACUGAUGAAUGAACAAUUACAUUUACCCACAGACUGAAAUAUGAUGUUAUUUUGUUUUGACUGAAAUUCCAACUCACUGUGAGAAUACUGUGAAAAAAAUCAUGAGAAGUAUCCUCAUAGGUGAGUCUUUUCACACAUCUGCACUAGUGAAUAUCUGAAUUUUAAAAGCCACUCCAGACCUACAUAGGUGAUGAACGAUGUGUACUUGAAAACAGUACACUCUUGCACAGCUGUCCCUGGAGCUUCCCCGUGGAGCUGUUAAACUUGCCCUCCGCUGGCUGUUUUCCACAAAGUAAUAUGGUUACAUAGAUUCACGGCUCAUGGCAAUGUUUCAUUAAGACAGUUCUUGAUGGCCGCUCCACACCUUUCUCACCACAUCUCACAGGCUGCCCUGCUGAGCCAGGUCUCCCUGGAACCCGGGGCUCCUGCGCAGGCCCCCAUUUUGCUCCAGAACACCCAGGAAGGCGGGGCUUGGGCUGGAAUGGGGACACCGAUUACCCUCUGUUCAGGCCUUUGGUGCCAGCUGAGGUCGAUACUGGUGCCAGGAUCGAGACUGUGCGCAUCCCAUCGAGAGCGGGCAGAUGUGGGGGCGCACUGGACCGGGCCUCCCAGGCUGACACCCAUUCACAGCAGCCUGAGCCUAAUCCGCCACUGCUCGCCUUCCUCCGACGUCUCCACCUAAACCAUCCUUCUGCACAUUGUGACCCAUCACUCCGCCCUUUGUCCA
rnacentral:lncRNA from 1 species